GGAGGAUGGACCUGUCUCGGAAUUGGAUCAAACUCCGGACCUUCCUUGAAAGUUAUUUGGAUAGAUGAUAUUGGCACAUUGUUUAAAAUUCAAGAACUGAAGAGCACAGAGUGAAGAAUAAAUCUCCUUUUCUUAUCACCCAUCUCUGUCUCCUACUGUUGCUUGUUUCUUAUGUAUCCUUUUAAAAACAGCACAAUAGUGCAUGCAUGCUACUGAGCACACUGGGCCAAAGGACAUGUACAUCGAAAACAUUGACAGAGGGUGUGGAACUUCCUCAUAUCAAUAUGCACCCUCAUAAUGAGGAAAAGAAUGGGAGAAGAGGGAGUGGGAAGUAGAAGAGGAGGGUGGAGCAGCAGG
ensembl:lncRNA